UCGAGGAUCUUCGGCAAUGGGCGCAAGCCUGACCGAGCGACGCCGCGUGUGCGAUGAAGGCCUUCGGGUUGUAAAGCACUGUCGAGGGGGAGGAAAGCCCGCAAGGGUGUGACCUAUCCCUGGAGGAAGCACGGGCUAAGUUCGUGCCAGCAGCCGCGGUAAGACGAACCGUGCGAACGUUGUUCGGAAUCACUGGGCUUAAAGGGCGCGUAGGCGGGUUCGCAAGUCGGGGGUGAAAUCUUUCAGCUUAACUGGAAAAGUGCCCCCGAUACUGCGAGUCUCGAGGGAGGUAGGGGCAUGUGGAACUAAUGGUGGAGCGGUGAAAUGCGUAGAUAUCAUUAGGAACGCCGGUGGCGAAAGCGACGUGCUGGACCUCUUCUGACGCUGAGGCGCGAAAGCUAGGGGAGCAAACGGGAUUAGAUACCCCGGUAGUCC
rnacentral:rRNA from 1 species